rnacentral:tRNA from 1 species
GCGCUCGUAGCUCAGUUGGAUAGAGUGUUAGCCUCCGAAGCUAAAUGUCGGGUGUUCGAGUCACCUCGAGCGCACCA